UUAUUUUGCAGGUCCUCUGUUGGC
rnacentral:siRNA from 1 species